UAUAAUCUUUCCCAUACUCAAACUCUCCAUAAGGUCUUUUCAUUAGGUUUUUUUCUCUCUUUCUAUCUACCACUCUUUGCUGUAUCUCCAUCUCACUCCUCUUUUGAAAACUGCGCCAGCUUCCAUCUUCAACAUCUUCAUCUUCUAUCUUCAACCUCUGCAUGGCUCGUCCGAUGAAAAAAAUUGUUGACAUCAACGACACCAGGGAGUUGUGGAAAGUGGCGGUGAGAGUUGCCCAUAAUUGGAAGGUAGUAUCCAACAACAAGGAGCACUUUGAGAUGAUCUUCCAAGACAGAGAGAUGUAGAAGAUUUUUUUGAAAGAAAAAAAGAAAGAGAGAUUUACAAACGAAUCUGGAAAGUUAGGGUUUCGAUGAAAGUUAGGGUUUUGAUUCUGGAUGUGCUUCAGAUGAAGAGGACAUGAGUUUUCUUGUCGCCGCAUUCUCUCCCUGACUUCAGGCUGAAUAUUUUUAUCAGUUCACAUAUUCUAGCUUCAAGGAACAUUUAUUUGUGUAAAUAUUGAGAAAUGUCGUGCCUGGCGGAAGCAAAGAAAUAGAUACAGUUACCGUUUUGGAUAAAGCUGUAAAUUACCUGACAACUUCUUUUGACUACUUCUCUAAUAUUAGUUAUGCUUACAGAGAUUCCUAUUUAAACUUUCAAGUACUCUGGCAGAUAAAAAUGAAACGCUUUGUGGUGAAGUGAAAUGGACGGGAAACCUCGCGAUGUGGGAUAAAUCACAGUUUGAAAGAAUACGCACCAGGGAUAUCCUACAGAAACAUUAGGGCGGUUUCUCAAAGGUAGGGACGGGAAUGUUGCCAAAGCUCAUAAAAUGGUUGAGAAGGCACACGAUGGAGACAAGUGGAUUUGAUUUGUUGAAACUCAUGAAAUAUUAUUAGAUCUGUUUGUAGGAAAGAGUGGGAAAAUAUGGAAAACCAGGUGGUGGAAGCGAACCUGAGAACAUUAGCUUACCAGAAGAUGAUACAUCUGCCAUGAAAUAUUCGUGGCCAUUACCAUUCGAGUUGGUUUCGGUACAUAUCAAAGUCAUUACAUGUUAUUGAGUUUUAAUUUCUCGGUAAAGUUGUUUCCUUUUCAAAGUGUUAUCUGUCGAACAUGAUUCGUGUUAGAAAAUAGAACCAAUCAAUUUGUUUAAAUAGACUGUUUUACGGCAAGAGUUAACAUGCUAUUUGAAUAUUGUUUAAAUGAGGAAUUUCAGUGAUAUGUUGCUGAUAAAUCCAAGACAGCCGGCACCCAAACUAUUCAACAAAGGUUUACGCUAUGCACCAGAAAAAUGUGUUUCUUUCAUAAUCAGUAUGUUUUUACUCACAAAUUUUCGUUCUUCAAGUUUGAGUGUAGCUUGAAGACUCAACAAGUAUUUCUACUUUAAUACAAUAUUGUUUGUGAGUUGACUUGGGAAUUGAAUGUGUAUUGUAUUUUUAGAGGAAUUAUGAUGAUAUGGGCAUUGCAUAGAGGACAAAGAAGAAUCCUUUUUCACAACAUUUAUGUAGAUAUGGGAAGACCUUGACAGCACAAACAGUGGUCUCCAGCUUGAUAUACUACAGAUUUGAAAUCGGCAACUUAAAUUUUCUUCCAAAUUAUAAUUCUUUGAACUAAAAAUUAGUUAUACUGUUUGUAUUUCUAUUUUCUAAUUAAGUGAUUGCUUUCUAUCUUUGUACAGGGAAGAUGCUACCCAUAUAUUCCUACAACAAGAAUAUGUUGAUGAAGAAAUGUUGAUUCCUAAAAAUACCUCGGUGUUUAUUAGACGGGUUCCAGGGCGGUCAGGAUUACCAAUUGUUAGUGAACUACAGUACUUUCUCAAACCUUUGUAGACAAGAGGUGAAAUAUAAGGUGGUGGAAGCUGAACCUGAGAACAUUAGCUUAUCGGCAGAUGAUACAUCUACCAUUACAAAGUUAAGCUCAGUUUCGGUCGUUGUUGUCUCGGGUGAAACUGGUUGUGGUUAGACUACACAACAUCCUCAUGAGUGUACAUGGUCUGGAGUCAGGAUGUUAUUUUUGGACUCGAUGUCAAUCGGGAAGGAAGAGAAGUGGCUUGGGCGUGGUUUAAGGACUAAAACCAAAGAGCAUGCUUAUUUCAGGGAGUAAAUCAGAAUUAUCUUACUUAUUUUGCAACAAAAGAAGCUAUGUUGUUGUGUUAGUUAAGGCAAAUUGUGUGUCUGGAAAGAGUCUUGGAGUUAGCUGAGACGAAUAAGGUACGUACUAGAUGAUGUCAAGUAGUAGGGAUACUCAUUAGUGUUAUAAUUGCAUGAAGUCGGUCCCCCACCUGCAUCGCGGUCCUCCAUAGUCGCAAUUCCUAUUGUCAAGAUUGCGUCGAAGCAUCUUCGGUAGGUCCAUCGUGUCCGGUAUGCAAAGAUGACAUUGAGCUGGGGACUGAUGCAAAACAAAUGUCGUCUAGGCAUAUGCAUGUUUUUAAUACCAUUGGUCAUGAUAUAUUGAAUUUGGUUGGGUUUGUUAAUAUAUUAUUACUUGUGAUGAAGUUCAUCUUUGAAGUGAAGUUGGAAAAGAAUAUACUUUGCAUUUCCUCUUGAUUAUGCUUUCCACAAGUCAGGAGGCUGCAAAUACUUUAGUUCCCCUUAUACAGUGGUGCAAUCUG